CGUUGGUACAUUUGUUACAAUGGAUGAACCUACAUUAACACCUCAUUGUCACCCAAAGUCCGUAGUUUACAUUAGUGUUGGUGUUUUACAUUCUAAGGUUUUAAACAAAUAUUAAAUGACAUGUAUCCACCGUUGUAGUGUCAUGCGGCAUAUUUCACUGCCCUAAAUUUCCUCUGUGCUCUGCCUAUUUGUUCUUCUCUAUCUCCAGUUUCUGGCAGCCAGCGAUCUUUUUACUAUCUCCACAGUUUUGCCUUAUCCAGAAUGUCAUAGAACUGGAAUCAUACAAUAUGUAGCCUUUUUAGAUUUGCUUUCAUUACUGCUUCUUUUAAAGUACAAAGUGAUCUUCUGUGUUCUUUUGUCUCUAGUGGAACUAUCUUUACUUUGACAGUGUAAACUUAGGAGAGGAUUUUUUUCUGGGCUCAGCUUAACGAAAUAUAGGAAGCGAUGUCCUUCAUAUAAGCAUUUUGUUCCAUGGUGCCAUUGAAAUGGGUGCAAUUAUAUUAUCAUGCUCUAAAAUUAGACUUACCUUGUCAGUUAGGAAACAACAUCCUGAGUGGAAGAAUCUCUAUGUGCUUGGGAUCAGAAACUCAUCGGAACUGUCUCUCCCAUGGCGAGAAGACAUGGGUCUUGGAUGUAAAUGCAUCCUGCUAAACUUAAAGUGACAGCAAAUACUUUUCUGGAAGAGCUUUUUAUGGAAGAAGGAGGUUAUAUAUCCUCUGUUACUUCAUAAAUGAUCACAGUGAUUACCCUAUGAUGCAGGAUGAGGAUGAUGGAUUUACAGGGAUUUCCAAAUGUCUGUUAAUGCCCUUCACCCACUUUGCUGAGAUCAGUCAUCUGAACAAAUGGUUUGAAGAUUUUGUGUGAAGAUGCUAUAAAAAGAGUCAUUGGUUUCCCUUGUUCAUAGUAGUUAUUAUGUAUAUGGGUAGAGAGGAGGCUACAAUUUGAGAAUUAAUGUCAUUGAAAAUGAGGGCAAUAUUUGAGAGCCUUGAAUUCUCUGAAGAGUUCAAAUAAAGAUGUCUAUUUUGAAGAGUAUCUUUAUUUUCUUGUUGAAUAAAGAUCUUAAACUUUUUGUUUUUUCAAA
rnacentral:lncRNA from 10 species